GACGAACGCUGGCGGCGUGCCUAAUACAUGCAAGUCGAACGCACUGACGUCGACAGAAGGUGCUUGCACUGGAAGUUGAUUGACGUGAGUGGCGGACGGGUGAGUAACACGUGAGUAACCUGCCCUUAAGCGGGGGAUAACAUUUGGAAACAGAUGCUAAUACCGCAUAAAAGUUGAGAUCACAUGGUCUUAAUUUGAAAGACGGCCUUUGGCUGUCACUUAAGGAUGGACCCGCGGCGUAUUAGCUAGUUGGUGAGGUAAUAGCCCACCAAGGCGAUGGUACGUAGCCGACCUGAGAGGGUAAUCGGCCACAUUGGGACUGAGACACGGCCCAAACUCCUACGGGAGGCAGCAGUAGGGAAUCUUCCACAAUGGACGAAAGUCUGAUGGAGCAACGCCGCGUGAGUGAAGAAGGUUUUCGGAUCGUAAAACUCUGUUGUUGGAGAAGAACAGGGACUAGAGUAACUGUUAGUCCUUUGACGGUAUCCAACCAGAAAGCCACGGCUAACUACGUGCCAGCAGCCGCGGUAA
rnacentral:rRNA from 1 species